CUAUCCACAUAGAGGAAAAAAGGGUUUUUGCUCUUUUUUUAUAUACAAAUUAAAUACACUGAUAUUUAUAAUAAUUGUUUCUUAAAAUUCACCGACUUCUUCUAUAUUUUGCACCACAGCUAACAAUGAAGUAAAAUUUUCUUUGACUUGAGCGUAAAAUCGAUAGCUUCCGAUUUUUUGCAGGGAUUGCAUCGAUGCACAUCGAUGUAUCGUAUAAAAACAUUGAUAUUUUAAUUAAUCGAUAUCUUAAUUAAGUAAAAUAUAAUGGAUUCAGUGGCCGGUGCACUUUUCUCUCAGUAGGAAGAACAUGCUGCAGCCAACUGUUGCAUUAAUAUACAAAGGAGAUUGCUACGACACAGUUCUGAUCCAUUUAGCUUAAAUGAUGUAAUAUUUGUAAAAAAUUUCCGCCUCAGCAGAGACGCAUUUAAAAGCGUUUUAGCGUUUAUUGAGGAAGAGCUUGGGCGAAGCGUAAAAUCAACAUCGGUGACUCCUAUAAGUAGAUUGAUGGCACUUUUGAGGUUUUUCGCUGAAGGAAGCUACCAACAUGGUGUUGGGAAAGAUUUUGAUGUGGGGUUGGCUCAAUCCACGUUCUCAAAAACAUUGUCAAAAACUUUAACAUUUUGGAGCGCCGAUUGUGCCCAGUCUGGAUUCAAUUUUCAAUGACGGAGGAGGAGCAUAAACGAUCCAAAAUGUAGUUUUGCAGGAGAACGCAAUUUCCUGGCGUUAUUAUGUGUAUGGACGGCACGCACAUUAAAAUACUUCCUCCUGCAGACGAACCGUAUUUGUACUACAAUCGUAAGGGAUACUACAGCCUAAAUGCAAUGGUGAUUUGCGAUAACAAGAUGCAAAUAAGGUGUGUUGGUGCUCGGUUUCCGGGCAGUAGCCAUGACUAACAUGUGUGGAAUGUAAGCGUUGCAAAAACCUAUUUUGAAAAGAUAUAUCGGCAAGGAAACAAAACACCUUGGACAUUAGGCGAUGCUGGAUAUCCAUUACAGCCGUGGUUAAUUACACCAUUCCUUUCUACUGUGGCAGGAAGACGAGAAAGAAUCUUCAACAAAACGCACAGUAAAGCGAGCAACAUAGUCGGGAGAGUCAUCGGCGUUUUGAAAAAUAGAUUUCGAUGCCUGCUAAGUGCUCGCCAACUACAUUAUUCGCCCCAAAAAGUGGUAAUAAUAAAUGUGGUAUGCACAUUGCAUAACAUGUGCAUCCACUACAACGUUGAAGAUAAUACACCUGACAUUAUAGAUGAUGAAUAUGAAGAUGUAAAUGAAGCGGAAGCGCCAUCAGAAUUUUUCAGAGAAGCGUCACACAUAAGAAUGCAAAUUUUGUGAUCAUUACCUAACUAAUGAAAACAAUCCCGUAACUUUGUACUUCAUAUUUAUUUAUUAUAAAAAAUAUUUAAAAAAUUAGAAA